GACGAACGCUGGCGGCGCGCCUAACACAUGCAAGUCGAACGAGCGAGAGAGAGCUUGCUUUUUCGAGCGAGUGGCGAACGGGUGAGUAACGCGUGAGGAACCUGCCUCAAAGAGGGGGACAACAGUUGGAAACGACUGCUAAUACCGCAUAAGCCCACGGGUCGGCAUCGACCAGAGGGAAAAGGAGCAAUCCGCUUUGAGAUGGCCUCGCGUCCGAUUAGCUAGUUGGUGAGGUAACGGCCCACCAAGGCAACGAUCGGUAGCCGGACUGAGAGGUUGAACGGCCACAUUGGGACUGAGACACGGCCCAGACUCCUACGGGAGGCAGCAGUGGGGAAUAUUGCACAAUGGGGGAAACCCUGAUGCAGCGACGCCGCGUGGAGGAAGAAGGUCUUCGGAUUGUAAACUCCUGUUGUUGGGGAAGAUAAUGACGGUACCCAACAAGGAAGUGACGGCUAACUACGUG
rnacentral:rRNA from 1 species